ACUUCCCUGAACAGUACAAUUCAACAAACAUGAUUGACGCGACGUACGAAAAAAUGUGGUAAAAUGUAUAGUGUUACAAGUGUGCAAAGUGAUUUCUUCCACACGACCCCUGAGCUUUACGCACGAGUGAUUAAUUGCUAUGAAGUUGAGAUAUUAGGCACAUUGUUGACACCUCCCAUUGCCAUUUUCAUGGAGCGUGAUUGCUAGAACUACAUUCCAGGUAUCUCGCUCCACGCCCUACAAUAUAGCCGAUGUGACUAUGGACCUCAUCAGGUAGAGCCGUCACCAGAGAGUGUUGAUUUUUGCCCUUUUCAUGACUCUCCUACUUGCUGAGCCUUUCCUGUCAUAUGCCUCAAGUGUCUGGCCGAGUCUUCUUUGGUGGAGAACCAAUACCCCAAGUAAUUGAUCACGUCGACCCCUUCAGGUGCUCAGCUAUUAGGGCAACGUCGUCCGCAUACUUCAGGCAGGAAAUCCUGGCAUUUCCAAUCUAAGAGCCACCCACGCAAUUUUCUCCCAAUCUUCGUCGAUGGCAUCCAGCAUAACAUUAAACAGGAGCAGGCUGAGAGGGCUACACUGACUCUGACUCUUGUGCUCAUCUGGAACCUGUCCGUCGCUUCCUCCUCGGUCAUCACUUCACAGGGGAUCUUCAUCUCGUGACUUAUAAAUGGAACAAAUUCUGGACACUUGCCACCCCCCCUGGAAGUUUGCGGUCCUGACAGCUUCGAUUGAUGGGAGCUAACACACCCGAGAUCAUUUCUUCUGUAAAAGCCUUUAUGAUCUCAAUUAGAAGCUCAUCUUGCCUACGGCCUUGUUAUUUUCCAUGCCCUUCAGGGUAAGAUUCAGAUUGUGGAGGGAGAAGUCAGGAUUUAGUAGCAGCUCCCCAACACUCCCUGACGCAUUCUCCAGCUGCUAGGCAUCCACCAGGGGUGGUUCCCUUUCGACUCCUCACAACUAGGACGAGUAGUGAUUGAGUCAUCUCCUCCUUUUUCGCUCUGAAUUUGUUGAUAGCCUACUACCACUCUGCUAGGUUGAAACUCUCUUCAAUUUCUUUUGGGCUAUUUUCGAUCCAUCAGGCAAAUCUCCCUCAGGCAGGAACAGGGGGAAACUGAAGGUGAUCCCAGAAAAGGGAUCACCUUCACCAGGUGGAUUGGAGUUCAAAAUAAAUUUGUCUAACUUCCCGAAGAUCCAAUUGGAAAAUGUAUUGAAUUUAUAUAAUCAAUGAUGUCCUUUUUCCCUGGAGGUGAUCCCUUUUCAGGGAUCACCUUCAGUUUCUUUCUCUCAGUGCUUAGUACUCGCCUGUUCUGAGGAGGAUUUUCAGACAGUUCCCUACCCUUUUCGUCUGCAGUUUACACUUUUUAGUAAACCAUCUGGGCUCACCCAUAACCUUUUUAGGGUUCCUAAUCAUUCCUGCUCUGUCAACUGCGACUCGGAUCAUUUCUUUCACCUUUUCCCAAGUUCGGUCAUCCGUUCUCACUGUCGCUCUUGUUGGUAGAUCUCAGGCGUUUCUGUACUCCAUCGCAACCUCUUCGCUCGAGGUCCGUCUGCAUCUGCACGUCUCUCCGGUAGCUCUCCCUUCGUACUCUGAGAGCUGAAAGUCACCGGAAGAUGAUCGGAUUCUGUCCUGAUGGUUACCUUCAGUCACUCUACUCUCGGUCCCUCCAGGCUUUCCAUUGUCAGUACCAAAUGUAGCUCCGAACAACACCCCCUCUUCGUCCCGUUUUGCCCUACCGUUCAGUAUGAUGAAUCCUAAUUCUUGAUGAUUCUAUGAUGAAUCCCAACAAGGGAUAAAUUACAUUGCAAGUCGCUAUUUUGAGUCGCUGGAGUUCUAUCAAAAGUAAUAAUUGACAAGUGUUUGAAAAACAUUUUCCCAUGAAGCUGGGUUGAUGGGCAGCCUAUCGACCAAGGUUUUCCAUGGAUACCCUUGCUCAUCAAGAGAGUCUGUACGUGGUGUACAACUCCUGGGGUACAGUGCGACACGGUUAAUGAGGAAGUCAUCCCAUGAUAUUGGAAAAAUGUAGAAACCCGACUAGGGUGGAUAUAUGACAAGAAAAAAAUUAAACAAUUAGUCGACUGCAUUUUUUAUUUAAUUACACUCCAUUUCUAGUAAGCGCAUUAUCGUCCAAGAAAAUAGGCCUUGAAAUGCGAAUUUUGGGGUAAAUACUUGAAUUUUUUAUAUAAGUUACUUUGAAAGAUAUAAAAACGAAUUGGGAAAGAUUUUUGAAAAUUAAUCCCCCCCGGGGAGGGGGGGGGGUAUUAAUUUUGGGAAAACGGUAAGGACUAGGAAAAAAAAGUUUUAAUAGAAGUUGUAAAGCAUAAAAUAUUGCAUAAAAGUGAUUUCUAUACUUUUUAACUUUUAAGAAUGCUUUACACCUCUUCAACCCAAAUUCACGUUUUUUCUAUUUUUCCAACGAAUAAUCGAUUGGAUUAACGUGCAGAAA